rnacentral:rRNA from 1 species
AGGUGGCGAGCGUUAUCCGGAUUUACUUGUCGUAAAGGGAGCGUAGUCGGAUGAUUAAGUGUGAUUUGAAAUACCCGGGCUCAACUUGGUUUCUGCAUUCCAAACUGGUUAUCUAGAGUGCAGGAGAGGAGAGUGGAAUUCCUAGUGUAGCGGUGAAAUGCGUAGAGAUUAGGAAGAACACCAGUGGCGAAGGCGACUCUCUGGACUGUAACUGACGCUGAGGCUCGAAAGCGUGGGGAGCAAA